rnacentral:rRNA from 1 species
UAAUUGAAGAGUUUGAUCAUGGCUCAGAUUGAACGCUGGCGGCAGGCCUAACACAUGCAAGUCGAGCGGCAGCACAGAGGAACUUGUUCCUUGGGUGGCGAGCGGCGGACGGGUGAGUAAUGCCUGGGAAAUUGCCCGGUAGAGGGGGAUAACCAUUGGAAACGAUGGCUAAUACCGCAUAACCUCGCAAGAGCAAAGCAGGGGACCUUCGGGCCUUGCGCUACCGGAUAUGCCCAGGUGGGAUUAGCUAGUUGGUGAGGUAAGGGCUCACCAAGGC